rnacentral:rRNA from 1 species
AUUGAACGCUGGCGGCAUGCCUUACACAUGCAAGUCGAACGGCAGCACGGGGCAACCUGGUGGCGAGUGGCGAACGGGUGAGUAAUGCAUCGGAACGUACCUUUCAGUGGGGGAUAACGUAGCGAAAGUUACGCUAAUACCGCAUAUUCUGUGAGCAGGAAAGCAGGGGAUCGCAAGACCUUGCGCUGAUUGAGCGGCCGAUGUCAGAUUAGCUAGUUGGUGAGGUAAAGGCUCACCAAGGCGACGAUCUGUAGCGGGUCUGAGAGGAUGAUCCGCCACACUGGAACUGAGACACGGUCCAGACGCCUACGGGAGGCAGCAGUGGGGAAUUGUGGACAAUGGGGGCAAACCUGACCCAGCCAUGCCGCGUGAGUGAAGAAGGCCUUCGGGUUGUAAAGCUCUUUCGGCCGGGAAGAAAUCGCACGGGCUAAUACCCUGUGUGGAUGACGGUACCGGAAUAAGAAGCACCGGCUAACUACGUGCCAGCCGCCGCCGUAAAAC